AAUAAGAAUAAUAAUCUCAAUCAAAAAUUCAAUUAGUGACAAUAAUAAUAAUAAUCUUUCUUCCAUUUUCAUAUCAGUUAACUUUGGGGUUUAAAAUUUAGUGUGAUUCGUCUUCAUAAUCAAAGAAUUCUUCAAAUAAUAAUAAGGAAUAUUUGGGGAUUUGUGUGUGUUGACAAACAUGAAAAAGUGGAAGAAAAGUGUGAUUCAAGUUCUUAACCUUAACUCUCAUUACCUAAAGUCAUCAUGGAUUUGGUUGUCGCGUAGGAGGUAGUUCAGGAAGGAGGAAC